UAAUACGGAGGGUGCAAGCGUUAUCCGGAUUCACUGGGUUUAAAGGGUGCGUAGGCGGGUUUUUAAGUCAGCGGUGAAAGCUCCGAGCUCAACUCGGAAAUUGCCGUUGAUACUAUUAAUCUUGAAUUUAGUUGAGGUGGGCGGAAUGUGUAGUGUAGCGGUGAAAUGCUUAGAUAUUACACAGAACACCUAUUGCGAAGGCAGCUCGCUAAACUAAUAUUGACGCUGAGGCACGAAAGCGUGGGGAUCAAACAGGAUUAGAAACCCUGGUAGUCCACGCCCUAAACGAUGAUUACUCGAUCUGUGCGAUACACUGUACGGGUCUAUGCAAAAGCAUUAAGUAAUCCACCUGGGAAGUACGACCGCAAGGUUG
rnacentral:rRNA from 1 species